UCCUGGUUAACCCAGGCAGUCUCAUUAGAGUUCCCACCUUAAAUGUUGGCAACUAAUGAUAAGGGUUGCGCUCGUUGCGGGACUUAACCCAACACCUCACGGCACGAGCUGACGACAGCCAUGCAGCACCUGUGCAGCGGCCCCGAAGGGAAAUACCAUCUCUGGUAUCGUCCACUGCAUGUCAAGACUGGGUAAGGUUCUUCGCGUUGCAUCGAAUUAAACCACAUGCUCCACUGCUUGUGCGGGUCCCCGUCAAUUCUUUUGAGUUUCACCCUUGCGAGCGUACUCCCCAGGCGGUAUACUUAUCGCGUUAGCUACGGCACAACCAGGGUUGAGUCCGGUUACACCAAGUAUACAUAGUUUACGGCAAGGACUAC
rnacentral:misc_RNA from 1 species